CCUCCACCUCCACUCUCCACCGCUCAUGUUGAAGCCAUUUCUCUUUACGAAGGUACCGUAUGGCACGAGCGUCGCCGCCCCAUCCGCCAUUCUUUCCGGUACUCCGUCCGCUACACUCUUUUCGACCUCGGUCACGCUCCCAACACGCCACCUAACCACCUCUCCGCCGACGAGGCUCGUAGGUUUGCCAAAACUGACGGCCCUGUUUUUCUGCUAACAAUUCCUCCAAGCGUGGGGUACGAACAUAAUCCAUUGAGCAUAUAUUAUUGCAAUGAUUUGGAGGG